AGAUAAAAAAACAAUGAUAAUAAAUAUCAUCAGGUUGACUCUGGUGGUUGUGAUGCUGAUUCCUCUGCUUCUGGUUUGUCUGUGGAUGAGGAAGAAGAAAACUCUGAGCUCCACCACUGAACCAAAUGAACCCAUAGAGACAUUAGAGUUGGAGUCUGAUCCUGAUUGUAGCAACGCCUCAGCCUUGAACCAAAACUGUAACCAGAGGGACUCACCUGGAUGGAAACAGAGAGAAGUACAGCAUUGAAGUAGUCAGUGGAGAACAGGGGGCUGUGGAGGAUGAGGAUACAUUUACCUUUAACUGCAAACAUUUUCAUUUUUAGUUUUCAUUAGCAGCAGCAGGUAGACGUCAGCAGCAGCAUGUAGCACAAGAUUAGAGUAGAAUGUAAGCGUCAUUGUUACCUGUGCAGGUACAUUACAUAAGUUCACUGUUUGUCCUUUCACAUCACACCUGUGCUGGUAAUGAAAGCCAAUAACGUCUGAUCAAAACAAACAUGUAGAACUGGAAGCUAAGUAUUUCACAGCAUGUACAGUCUAUGUUUAAACACUGAAAUCAAACAGAAGCCCAGCUCUGUCACACUUUGCUAGUUGUAUCAUUUUCAAUGUGUUGCAGUGGCUGAUUGAAAUAAACAGCCAGCUUCCACAACAA